UACGUAGGGGGCAAGCGUUGUCCGGAAUCAUUGGGCGUAAAGAGCUUGUAGGCGGUUUGUCGCGUCUGCUGUGAAAUUUCGGGGCUCAACCCCGAACUUGCAGUGGGUACGGGCAGACUAGAGUGUGGUAGGGGAGACUGGAAUUCCUGGUGUAGCGGUGGAAUGCGCAGAUAUCAGGAGGAACACCGGUGGCGAAGGCGGGUCUCUGGGCAGUAACUGACGCUGAGGAGCGAAAGCGUGGGGAGCGAACAGG
rnacentral:rRNA from 1 species